rnacentral:rRNA from 1 species
AUUGAACGCUGGCGGCAUGCCUUACACAUGCAAGUCGAACGGCAGCACGGGUGCUUGCACCUGGUGGCGAGUGGCGAACGGGUGAGUAAUACAUCGGAACAUGUCCUGUAGUGGGGGAUAGCCCGGCGAAAGCCGGAUUAAUACCGCAUACGAUCUACGGAUGAAAGCGGGGGACCUUCGGGCCUCGCGCUAUAGGGUUGGCCGAUGGCUGAUUAGCUAGUUGGUGGGGUAAAGGCCUACCAAGGCGACGAUCAGUAGCUGGUCUGAGAGGACGACCAGCCAAACUGGGACUGGAACACGGCCAGGACUCCUAGGGAAGGCAGAGGGGGGGAAUUUUGAAAGAGGGCGAAAGCCUGAUCCAGCAAUGCCGCGUGUGUGAAGAAGGCCUUCGGGUUGUAAAGCACUUUUGUCCGGAAAGAAAUCCUUGGCCCUAAUACGGUCGGGGGAUGACGGUACCGGAAGAAUAAGCACCGGCUAACUACGU